rnacentral:tRNA from 1 species
AAGGAUUUAAGUUAAACAAGAAACUAUCAACCUUCAAAGUUGCAAAUAAAGCCUACUUUAAGCCUUA